rfam:Homo sapiens chromosome 7, GRCh38 reference primary assembly.
AGGUGUGCAGUCAAUCUGGUUUCAACAGCUGUCAUCCCAUUGGUUGCCAGGGUUGAUUUGGCUGAUCUGACUGGCUAGGUGGGCUGUCCCCUUCCCUGCCCUCACUCUUCCCAAAGCCGAGCACUUGGUGGAAGGGGACAACCUUCCCUGAUAGAGGAAGAUUGUUCUUUGGUCAAGGAUAUAUGAGUAGCUGCACCUCCCCUGACAGUUCCUCCAAACAAGUUGAAGACAUUUCAUAUAAUGCCUAGAAGUGGAACAGAUGAAUGUGUAAGAUACUGGAGAGUGUUUGUACUCAGCACUGCAUUGGGCAAAUACUACAUGUGUAUAUCUUGCAUUAU